UACGUAGGUGGCAAGCGUUGUCCGGAAUUACUGGGUGUAAAGGGAGCGCAGGCGGGGAAGCAAGUCAGACGUGAAAACUAUGGGCUUAACCCAUAACGUGCGUUUGAAACUGUUUUUCUUGAGUGAAGUAGAGGCAGGCGGAAUUCCGAGUGUAGCGGUGAAAUGCGUAGAUAUUCGGAGGAACACCAGUGGCGAAGGCGGCCUGCUGGGCUUUUACUGACGCUGAGGCUCGAAAGUGUGGGGAG
rnacentral:rRNA from 1 species